rfam:Glossina morsitans morsitans, isolate Yale, WGS project CCAG01000000 data, contig: ctg10001755
GGGGGGUUUUUAGUACGUAAGCGCCAUGGAUGGCGAAUCGUGCAUGCUGCUACUAAGAACCAGCAGUAUCUUUUGAAGAUUUUCUACCUC